GUUAUUUGUUGGUUCUUCAUACAGGACGAUAAACCAUCAUAGACGUUAUCAAAAAGGCAAACCAUUAAUUAUAUAAACUUCUCGAAACAAUUUAAUGGAAAUCGACAAAAAACACAACAGAAAUGCCUACAGGCUCAAAUGGUUGCAGCAACAGAGCCCUAUACAUAACACUAUUCGCUGAUCUUAACUAACUAAACAGCAUAUCCUAGAGUGGAAUUCAGG